CAGGGGCCUCCUUGGCCUCCCUGGCCUCCCUGGCCUCCUGGCCUCCCCGGCCUCCCUGGCUGGGUCAGAUGAAGUGGUCAUCCUUGUGGGCGACUCCAGCUCGCCAGACCUUACAGAAUCACCCGAGGGAUUUUGGGGGUAGGAUUCGGUGGGCAGUCUUUGUAGGUCGUUGGAUCGAGGGUCUGUGUUCCCCACUGGCUGAUGGCCAGAGGCCUCAGUUCUUUGCCACAUGGGCCUUGCCUUCACCAGUGCUUUGAACAAGAAGUCCCAAACCAUCACCUGUCAUCAGCCGGGUCCUGUGUCAUUAAUUCCUGUUUUGCUUGAUGUCAAUGUUGCGAUUUUAUGAGUCCAGCUUUUCCAUUAAGGUUCUGGAAAUUUCAGUCCAUGCUAUUCGGAGGAUCUCAAGUUAUCAGAAGCCUGUUUGAUGAGAGUUGUGCAACUUUUCCAUGAAACUUCUUAGAGACAUGACACUCUAGGGUUAUGUUGUUUGCAAAGAACUUUUAGCGAAAGCAAGAAGAUUUCAGAACUGGGCACGGUAGUCCUCGCUACUCGGGAGGCUGAGGCAGAGGGGAGGCUGAGGCAGAGGACGGACCGCUGGAGGCCAGCUUGGCAACAUAGACUGUCUUGAAAAAAACUAACAGAAAAACACUAAAUAACCAUGAUAUAAAGGUCUGAUAAGAGUUUGAAUAAUAACGAUGACUGGAAAUUUUGGUUAUUUCUGUGGCAGACAACAAUUUGACCUAAUGAUCGACUGAUAACAUACAGUUUUGUAAUGUACGUUACUAACCUUACAAAUGGAACUCAAAUUUGAAUAUCAUUUCUUAUUCGAUGAUGUUUCCCACAUAAUUUUAGCCUAUCAAAUAAGCCUUCUGAAGUGUUCAAACGUUAGUUUGUGGUUAAAAAAUUUAAAUGCUUUAUUGAAAUAGGAUCACAGGUGUCAGUGUGUAGUUG
rnacentral:lncRNA from 1 species